rnacentral:lncRNA from 1 species
UUUCCUGCUUAUCCAAAUUCACCAUUUCAAGUCGCCACUGGAUAUCAGUUCCCUGUAUACAAUUAUCAGGCAUUUCCUGCUUAUCCAAAUUCACCAGUUCAGGUCACCACUGGAUAUCAGUUGCCUGUAUACAAUUAUCAGGCAUUUCCUGCUUAUCCAAAUUCACCAUUUCAAGUCGCCACUGGAUAUCAGUUCCCUGUAUACAAUUAUCAGGCAUUUCCUGCUUAUCCAAAUUCACCAGUUCAGGUCACCACUGGAUAUCAGUUGCCUGUAUACAAUUAUCAGGCAUUUCCUGCUUAUCCAAGUUCACCAUUUCAGGUCACCACUGGAUAUCAGUUGCCUGUAUAUAAUUAUCAGGCAUUUCCUGCUUAUCCAAGUUCACCAUUUCAGGUCACCACUGGAUAUCAGUUGCCUGUAUAUAAUUAUCAGGCAUUUCCUGCUUAUCCAAAUUCAGCAGUUCAGGUCACCACUGGAUAUCAGUUCCAUGUAUACAAUUACCAGAUGCCACCGCAGUGCCCUGUUGGGGAGCAAAGGAGAAAUCUGUGGACCGAAGCAUACAAAUGGUGGUAUCUUGUCUGUUUAAUCCAGAGAAGAGACUGAUAAAUUCCGUUGUUACUCAAGAUGACUGCUUCAAGGGUAAAAGAGUGCAUCGCUUUAGAAGAAGUUUGGCAGUAUUUAAAUCUGUUGGAUCCUCUCAGCUAUCUAGUUUCAUGGGAAGUUGCUGGUUUUGAAUAUUAAGCUAAAAGUUUUCCACUAUUACAGAAAUUCUGAAUUUUGGUAAAUCACACUGAAACUUUCUGUAUAACUUGUAUUAUUAGACUCUCUAGUUUUAUCUUAACACUGAAACUGUUCUUCAUUAGAUGUUUAUUUAGAACCUGGUUCUGUGUUUAAUAUAUAGUUUAAAGUAACAAAUAAUCGAGACUGAAAGAAUGUUAAGAUUUAUCUGCAAGGAUUUUUAAAAAAUUGAAACUUGCAUUUUAAGUGUUUAAAAGCAAAUACUGACUUUCAAAAAAGUUUUUAAAACCUGAUUUGAAAGCUAACAAUUUUGAUAGUCUGAACACAAGCAUUUCACUUCUCCAAGAAGUACCUGUGAACAGUACAAUAUUUCAGUAUUGAGCUUUGCAUUUAUGAUUUAUCUAGAAAUUUACCUCAAAAGCAGAAUUUUUAAAACUGCAUUUUUAAUCAGUGGAACUCAAUGUAUAGUUAGCUUUAUUGAAGUCUUAUCCAAACCCAGUAAAACAGAUUCUAAGCAAACAGUCCAAUCAGUGAGUCAUAAUGUUUAUUCAAAGUAUUUUAUCUUUUAUCUAGAAUCCACAUAUGUAUGUCCAAUUUGAUUGGGAUAGUAGUUAGGAUAACUAAAAUUCUGGGCCUAAUUUUUUAAAGAAUCCAAGACAAACUAAACUUUACUGGGUAUAUAACCUUCUCAAUGAGUUACCAUUCUUUUUUAUAAAAAAAAUUGUUCCUUGAAAUGCUAAACUUAAUGGCUGUAUGUGAAAUUUGCAAAAUACUGGUAUUAAAGAACGCUGCAGCUUUUUUAUGUCACUCAAAGGUUAAUCGGAGUAUCUGAAAGGAAUUGUUUUUAUAAAAACAUUGAAGUAUUAGUUACUUGCUAUAAAUAGAUUUUUAUUUUUGUUUUUUAGCCUGUUAUAUUUCCUUCUGUAAAAUAAAAUAUGUCCAGAAGAGGCAUGUUGUUUCUAGAUUAGGUAGUGUCCUCAUUUUAUAUUGUGACCACACAGCUAGAGCACCAGAGCCCUUUUGCUAUACUCACAGUCUUGUUUUCCCAGCCUCUUUUACUAGUCUUUCAGGAGGUUUGCUCUUAGAACUGGUGAUGUAAAGAAUGGAAGUAGCUGUAUGAGCAGUUCAAAGGCCAAGCCGUGGAAUGGUAGCAAUGGGAUAUAAUACCUUUCUAAGGGAAACAUUUGUAUCAGUAUCAUUUGAUCUGCCAUGGACAUGUGUUUAAAGUGGCUUUCUGGCCCUUCUUUCAAUGGCUUCUUCCCUAAAACGUGGAGACUCUAAGUUAAUGUCGUUACUAUGGGCCAUAUUACUAAUGCCCACUGGGGUCUAUGAUUUCUCAAAAUUUUCAUUCGGAAUCCGAAGGAUACAGUCUUUAAACUUUAGAAUUCCCAAGAAGGCUUUAUUACACCUCAGAAAUUGAAAGCACCAUGACUUUGUCCAUUAAAAAAUUAUCCAUAGUUUUUUUAGUGCUUUUAACAUUCCGACAUACAUCAUUCUGUGAUUAAAUCUCCAGAUUUCUGUAAAUGAUACCUACAUUCUAAAGAGUUAAUUCUAAUUAUUCCGAUAUGACCUUAAGGAAAAGUAAAGGAAUAAAUUUUUGUCUUUGUUGAAGUAUUUAAUAGAGUAAGGUAAAGAAGAUAUUAAGUCCCUUUCAAAAUGGAAAAUUAAUUCUAAACUGAGAAAAAUGUUCCUACUACCUAUUGCUGAUACUGUCUUUGCAUAAAUGAAUAAAAAUAAACUUUUUUUCUUCAAA